rnacentral:rRNA from 1 species
AACGAACGCUGGCGGCAUGCCUAACACAUGCAAGUCGAACGAAACCUUCGGGCUUAGUGGCGCACGGGUGCGUAACACGUGGGAAUCUGCCCUUCGGUUCGGAAUAACAGUUAGAAAUGACUGCUAAUACCGGAUGAUGACGAAAGUCCAAAGAUUUAUCGCCGAAGGAUGAGCCCGCGUAGGAUUAGGUAGUUGGUAGGGUAAUGGCCUACCAAGCCGACGAUCCUUAGCUGGUCUGAGAGGAUGAUCAGCCACACUGGGACUGAGACACGGCCCAGACUCCUACGGGAGGCAGCAGUGGGGAAUAUUGGACAAUGGGCGAAAGCCUGAUCCAGCAAUGCCGCGUGAGUGAUGAAGGCCUUAGGGUUGUAAAGCUCUUUUACCAGGGAUGAUAAUGACAGUACCUGGAGAAUAAGACUCCGGCUAAACUCCGUGCCAGCAGCCGCGGUAAU